rnacentral:rRNA from 1 species
AGAACGAACGCUGGCGGCAGGCCUAACACAUGCAAGUCGAACGCCCGUAGCAAUACGGGAGUGGCAGACGGGUGAGUAACGCGUGGGAACGUGCCCUUCGGUUCGGAAUAACUCAGGGAAACUUGAGCUAAUACCGGAUACGUCCGUAAGGAGAAAGAUUUAUCGCCGAAGGAUCGGCCCGCGUCGGAUUAGCUAGUUGGUGGGGUAAAAGCUCACCAAGGCGACGAUCCGUAGCUGGUCUGAGAGGAUGAUCAGCCACACUGGGACUGAGACACGGCCCAGACUCCUACGGGAGGCAGCAGUGGGGAAUAUUGGACAAUGGGCGAAAGCCUGAUCCAGCCAUGCCGCGUGAGUGAAGAGGCCUUAGGGUUGUAAAGCUCUUUCAGCGGGGAAGAUAAUGACGGUACCGCAGAAGAAGUCCCGGCUAACUUCGUGCCAGCAGCCGC